GAUGAACGCUGGCGGCGUGCCUAAUACAUGCAAGUCGAGCGAACGGACGAGAAGCUUGCUUCUCUGAUGUUAGCGGCGGACGGGUGAGUAACACGUGGAUAACCUACCUAUAAGACUGGGAUAACUUCGGGAAACCGGAGCUAAUACCGGAUAAUAUUUUGAACCGCAUGGUUCAAAAGUGAAAGACGGUCUUGCUGUCACUUAUAGAUGGAUCCGCGCUGCAUUAGCUAGUUGGUAAGGUAACGGCUUACCAAGGCAACGAUGCAUAGCCGACCUGAGAGGGUGAUCGGCCACACUGGAACUGAGACACGGUCCAGACUCCUACGGGAGGCAGCAGUAGGGAAUCUUCCGCAAUGGGCGAAAGCCUGACGGAGCAACGCCGCGUGAGUGAUGAAGGUCUUCGGAUCGUAAAACUCUGUUAUUAGGGAAGAACAUAUGUGUAAGUAACUGUGCACCUCUUGAUGGGUACCUAUCAGAAAGCCCACGGCUAACUACGUGCCAGCAGCCGGCGUUAAUACGUAGGUGGCAAGCGUUAUCCCGAAUUUUUGGGGCGUAAAGCGCGCGGUAGGCGGUUUUUUAGUCUGAUGUGAAAGCCCACGGCCUCAACCGUGGAGGGUCAUUGGAAACUGGAAAACUUGAGUGCAGAAGAGGAAAGUGGAAUUCCAUGUGUAGCGGUGAAAUGCGCAGAGAUAUGGAGGAACACCAGUGGCGAAGGCGACUUCCUGGUCUGUAACUGACGCUGAUGUGCGAAAGCGUGGGGAUCAAACAGGAUUAGAUGCCCUGGUAGUCCACGCCGUAAACGAUGAGUGCUAAGUGUUAGGGGGUUUCCGCCCCUUAGUGCUGCAGCUAACGCAUUAAGCACUCCGCCUGGGGAGUACGACCGCAAGGUUGAAACUCAAAGGAAUUGACGGGGACCCGCACAAGCGGUGGAGCAUGUGGUUUAAUUCGAAGCAACGCGGAGAACCUUACCAAAUCUUGACAUCCUUUGACAACUCUAGAGAUAGAGCUUUCCCCUUCGGGGGACAAAGUGACAGGUGGUGCAUGGUUGUCGUCAGCUCGUGUCGUGAGAUGUUGGGUUAAGUCCCGCAACGAGCGCAACCCUUAAGCUUAGUUGCCAUCAUUAAGUUGGGCACUCUAAGUUGACUGCCGGUGACAAACCGGAGGAAGGUGGGGAUGACGUCAAAUCAUCAUGCCCCUUAUGAUUUGGGCUACACACGUGCUACAAUGGACAAUACAAAGGGCAGCGAAACCGCGAGGUCAAGCAAAUCCCAUAAAGUUGUUCUCAGUUCGGAUUGUAGUCUGCAACUCGACUACAUGAAGCUGGAAUCGCUAGUAAUCGUAGAUCAGCAUGCUACGGUGAAUACGUUCCCGGGUCU
rnacentral:rRNA from 1 species